GUCUACGGCCACGCCACCCUGAACACGCUCGAUCCCGUCUUAUCUCGGAAGCUAAGCAGGGUCAGGCCUGGUGAGUACUUGGAUGGGAGACUACCUAGGAAGACCAGGUGCUGCAGGUA
rnacentral:rRNA from 1 species